UUUGAACGCAUAUCGCAGUCCAUGCUGUAAGGUACUUUAAUUUAUAAUUGAAGUGCUGCUUGGACUACAUAU
rnacentral:rRNA from 1 species